AUGGUAGGAUAGAGGCCCACCAUGGUGGUAACGGGUAACGGGGUGUUAGGGCACGACACCGGAGAGGGAGCCUGAGAAACGGCUACCACAUCCAAGGAAGGCAGCAGGCGCGCAAAUUACCCAAUCCCGACACGGGGAGGUAGUGACAAUAAAUAACAAUACAGGGUUCUUUGAAUCUUGUAAUUGGAAUGAGUACAAUUUAAAUCUCUUAACGAGGAACAAUUGGAGGGCAAGUCUGGUGCCAGCAGCCGCGGUAAUUCCAGCUCCAAUAGCGUAUAUNAAAGUUGUUGCAGUUAAAAAGCUCGUAGUUGAAUUUCGGGAUCAAUACGUCGGUCGUGCUUUCGGGUACGUACUGGCGUCAUUGGUUUCUCCUUUCUGACGAACCAUGAUGUCAUUAAUUUGGUGUUAUGGGGAGUUAGGACUGUUACUUUGAAAAAAUUAGAGUGUUUAAAGCAGGCAUUGGCUUGAAUACAUUAGCAUGGAAUAAUGAAAUAGGACGUUCGAUCCUAUUUUGUUGGUUUCUAGGAUCAACGUAAUGAUUAAUAGGGAUAGUUGGGGGCAUUAGUAUUCAAUUGUCAGAGGUGAAAUUCUUGGAUUUAUUGAAGACUAACUACUGCGAAAGCAUUUGCCAAGGAUGUUUUCAUUAAUCAAGAACGAAAGUUAGGGGAUCGAAGACGAUCAGAUACCGUCGUAGUCUUAACCAUAAACUAUGCCGACUAGGGAUCGGAUGAUGUUAAUUUUUUAAUGACUCAUUCGGCGCCUUACGGGAAACCAAAGUGUUUGGG
rnacentral:rRNA from 1 species